UUCCACCUGCAAAACGUACCUCGCGCCGGGUGCCUAUAAUUAACCCAGUCACUAGACAAGAUAUAUUUACUGAAGAUUUAUUUGCAUCGGAAAAUGUGAGUGAGAACUCGAGUGAAAGGCAGACGCCUCUAGCGGACAACUCGCACAGUAUCGUGGAAGAGUUCACACGGAUGUUUAGUCAAGCUGCCAACGAGCCAUCUAGCGGCGAGACUGCCAAAACAAACCAUGUACCAAAAUGUAACGAAGUGCCUGCGAUGGCCAGCCCCGAGCAACCUCAAAACGCAAUAAUUUCUAAUAAUAAUGUAAAGUCUGAUAUAGUUAACGAUAAUAUAGGAGCCGAUGUGGAAGUUGAAACGCCCAUCGUGUCGGCGAUAUCCGACAGUCCUGAUAUAGUGCCUAAAGUGACAAACACGAAACACCAAAAGAUUAGUGAAAACUCCAUUGUAGUAGAUAAUAAACAGAAACCGA